rnacentral:rRNA from 1 species
CGGACGGGUGAGUAAUGUCUGGGAAACUGCCUGAUGGAGGGGGAUAACUACUGGAAACGGUAGCUAAUACCGCAUAACGUCGCAAGAACAAAGAGGGGGACCUUAGGGCCUCUUGCCAUCGGAUGUGCCCAGAUGGGAUUAGCUUGUUGGUGGGGUAACGGCUCACCAAGGCGACGAUCCCUAGCUGGUCUGAGAGGAUGACCAGCCACACUGGAACUGAGACACGGUCCAG